CCUACGGGAGGCUGCAGUGGGGAAUAUUGGACAAUGGGCGAAAGCCUGAUCCAGCCAUGCCGCGUGUGUGAAGAAGGCCUUCGGGUUGUAAAGCACUUUCAGUGGGGAAGAAAGCCUUGGGGUUAAUACCCUCGAGGAAGGACAUCACCCACAGAAGAAGCACCGGCUAACUCCGUGCCAGCAGCCGCGGUAAUACGGAGGGUGCGAGCGUUAAUCGGAAUUACUGGGCGUAAAGCGCGCGUAGGCGGUCUGAUAAGCCGGUUGUGAAAGCCCCGGGCUCAACCUGGGAACGGCAUCCGGAACUGUCAGGCUAGAGUGCAGGAGAGGAAGGUAGAAUUCCCGGUGUAGCGGUGAAAUGCGUAGAGAUCGGGAGGAAUACCAGUGGCGAAGGCGGCCUUCUGGACUGACACUGACGCUGAGGUGCGAAAGCGUGGGUAGCAAACAGGAUUAGAUACCCGGGUAGUC
rnacentral:rRNA from 1 species